GGUUCAUCUUUUAGUUGACAAAAAAAAAAAAAAAAGAUCACAACUCCUUCUUCCCCCCCUUUUCUCUAUUCGGCUGAAGGAACUCUCAGCAGUCCAUCGCGCCACCGUCGGGGCCAAUGGCUGGCGUUGCGCGAAAAGGAAUCUUUAGCCCCAUUCCAGGUGAACCCGAAAGGCCGCGUUCCAAAAGAAGUUCAUGAGCCUAGCCCUUUUAAUCGAAAAGAAACGAAAGAAAGGAUCCCCACCCCUUUUCAGCCCCGACGACGGAGGAGAAAUCUCCGACGGUGAAGCCACGGGCGUUUCCGGUUAUGGGAGUGUCAGGCGCAUUGAAGAGGAGGGCAUGCGCGGGGUGUGGUGGCUGAGCGUUGAACGUGCUGCCCGAGCACAUGGGGAGCGGCGGCUGGAGGCUUGGGGCUAGGGUUGGCUGCUGAAAAUUCUUAAGAUUUUUGGGCUCUUUUUUAUUGUUUUGGGUUUUGUUAUUGUUUUAUUUGUCUGGGCCAAAAUUGGCCAUUACAAUAAUAAUAAAAUAUUUUUGUAAAUAAAUAA